GGAGCGUUGCCAGAGUGGACGAAUGGGACGGUCUCGAAAACCGUUGUGGCUUAUGGUCACCGUGGGUUCAAAUCCCACACGCUCCGCCA
rnacentral:tRNA from 1 species